UGGGAUUGAUUGUUAUUAUAAUGCCAACAUUCACAGUCCCCAAGUACAACGUUGCUCCCUGCGUAAGUGUCAAUAUUCCAGUUUUUUAUUCAAGAAGGCGAGGAAGAAAGACCAACAGAAUUUCUCUCAAAAGAUACAGAGUAUUGUUCUCCAUUUAAAUUUUUUUGAAUUGGUUUAAUUUAUGGGAAUGUAUUUAAUUCAACGUAGUUUAUAGUUUUGCUGCCUUUGCAGUUUAAUUUCAUUUACGAUAUGUUUUUGGGAGUUAUUAAGGGAUCAAGUAUUUCUAACAA